rnacentral:rRNA from 1 species
UACAGAGGGGGCAAGCGUUGUUCGGAAUUACUGGGCGUAAAGGGCGCGUAGGCGGCCUGCUAAGUCGAACGUGAAAUCCCUGGGCUCAACCCAGGAACUGCGUCCGAUACUGGUUGGCUUGAAUCCGGGAGAGGGAUGUGGAAUUCCAGGUGUAGCGGUGAAAUGCGUAGAUAUCUGGAGGAACACCAGUGGCGAAAGCGGCUACCUGGCCCAUUCUUGACGCUGAGGCGCGAAAGCUAGGGGAGCAAACAGG